CGGCACUCUACUACUUUAGAAAAAGAAAGAGCCGAGCAACAGGCAGGCAAGCAAUUGGCAGCUACUGCCGAGCUCAGAAACUUGUCAUAUUUCGUUUGUUCCCCUAAAGGGGUGCGUAUGCAAACCGCCAAAGGAAGGUAAGUGAUAACACACAGAUCUGCAAGUCGGGGCCCUGGUCACAGCAGCCAACGCCGUUGUAUCUCAGAACUGCCACACAACUGCGAGGUCACGGCUCGUGGUGCACACACAAACAGUUCCUCCUCCACUUGGUCCCCGCCGACAAAGACCAACCCAGCUGCAGGCAAUCACCAGGCAAGCGGCCUCUAACCUGGCCUCCAGAACCCAGGACCUUAACCUGCCCAUAUGUGUCUGCAGUGCCUUGCUGAUCAACUCGAGCUUAAAGACUUCUUAGAAAAGACUGUCAAAUGAGGGCUCUCCAUGAGAGCAGUAUGGAGGAGAUCAAAGGUCAAGA
rnacentral:lncRNA from 1 species